rnacentral:rRNA from 1 species
CCUACGGGAGGCAGCAGUGGGGAAUAUUGGGCAAUGGACGCAAGAGUGAAGCAGCGACGCCGCGUGAAGGAAGACGGCCCUCGGGUCGGUAAGUUGUUUUGACAGGGGAGUAAAUGCCGAUAAGUAAAUGUGUCUGUAUUUAUGGUACCUGUAUAAGCAGCCUCGGCUAACUCCGGGACAGCCGCUGCGGUGAUACGGAGGGGGCAGGCGUUGUUCGGAGUGGUGGGGUUUAAAGGGCACGUAGGCGGUGUUGUAAGGCAUUAGUCAAGGCCCUGGGCUCAACUUUAGUAUGGCCAGUGAUACUUUAAUCCUAGAGUAUAAGAGAGGAUUGCGGAAUUCAUGGUGUAGCGGUGAAAUGCGUAGAUAUCAGGAAGAAUACCGUUCGCGAAGGCAGCUAUCUGGCUGGCAACUGACGCUGAGGUGCGAAAGCGUGGGUAGCAAACAGGAUUAGAUACCCUGGUAGUC